UGCUUUCUCUGGUAAGGAUUACACCAAGGUGGAUCGCUCGGCCGCAUACGCAGCCCGCUGGGUGGCCAAAUCACUAGUGAAGGCCAAGCUGUGCAGGAGAGUUCUGGUUCAAGUCUCCUAUGCUAUCGGUGUCGCCACCCCGCUGUCGAUAUCUCUCUUCACGUAUGGAUCCUCUGACAAGUCUGAAAAAGAGCUGCUGAAAAUCCUACACAAGAACUUUGACCUCCGACCUGGUGUCAUUGUCAGGGACCUGGAUCUGAAGAAACCAAUCAAUCAAAAUACAACGUGCUAUGGACACUUUGGAAGGAAGGAAUUCCCAUGGGAAGUCCCCAGGAAAAUGGAGUUUUGAUAUGACUCAUAGUUUUGGAAGACCUCACUGGGAGAAAAUCAGCUGUCACUCAAAAGUGGUGAAUGUAGGACACCAGCACCAUUCUUUAAUUGUUCCACUGAGACUCACAGGGGUGUGAUUCCAGACUAUUACUACAGUCUUAAAUGUGCUCCUGCUCUUCAGGACUUUUAAAGCACAUGGAGGUCGUGUAACUGCAGCUCACAUGUUGAUGAAUCAAGUAUGAUUUGCAGUGAUUGCCAGUAACAUGCAUGCUUUUUAUUUUGUACAAAACAAACAAACAAACACAAAAAUGAUCCAGCAGAG